AUCAAUGAGUCAAUCAAAAUAUCUAACCUACAAUUUCAUACGAUAUUCGAACUUGACAACUCGCAGUACAGAACAGACUCGCAGUGUGAAGCUUUGACUAUAAUUUAUAUAAUAUAAUCAAAGGUGUGAAGUGCCAAGUGCCAACUGUCAAAGGGAAUUCAAUAGCAGCAUUCAAAAGUCCCUAGAUUUUAACAUAAUUUUGACAUAAUUCGUGCACAAAGUUGAACUUGUUUCAACUUUGUGUACGCACACAAGGAUUACAUAAAACGUUCAUAAGCAUAAGAAUUACGUUCGUCCACUGUGAACAGGGGUACACGUUUUCCAUCGUUUCAACUUUAUGUAUUUAUUUACUUCUAGAGAGACAGAAUGUGGUGAAUAGAAUCAAGACGUUAACAUUUACUUUUCCUAAUUCGGAAAAUUAUUUAAAAAGAAAAUGGUUGGCUGCACUAAAGAGAAUGAUUUUUGAAACUUCUGCUAACCAAAGCCGAAGCAGACAUUGAAACAAGCUAUUUUCAUGAGAGGUCUGGACAGCUUCUUUAGUUCAUCCACAAUCGAAGCAGGGUGAAAAUAGCUGUUACAUACAGAAUCAGUUUAUAGAAGCGAAACUACUAAAUUUGGUAAAACUUUACAAAAGGCACUUCUCGAUUUCGCACAAACUGUUUGUAGGUUUGGCAAAAUUUGUACACGGAAACUACCAUAAAUAACGUGGGAAUAGCAUCACGUUUCAGCAAUUUUCUUCCUGAUUCAGAUGCUUUAAAACAUGAUUUCAGGAAAUGUAAACUGCAAACAACCGUUUUGUCCGAUAAUCUUGGGCACUCAUCUACAAUUUUUCGUAUUCAGAAGUGUCUUUUUUAAUAAAAUAUGUCAAACUUUAUGCAAACAAAAAUAGGUACUUAAUAAAAAUAUUUAUUGAAGAUUUACCGGUAUUAGGAUAUAUUUUUCCCAACCAUACUUGUCUUAGCUUAAAAUUAGAGGGAAACUCAUGAAAGGAUCUUGAAGGAUCUGUGGAGAAACACGACGGAACACAACAAAACGAAUAAGGCAUUUUAAAAUGCGAAACACAACACAAAGCACUAAAACAAACGUAAACAAAAACAAAACGAAACGGCGAUUGUAAAUCUCGGAUCUAUUUAAGCCACAAAUAAACUAAAACAGAUUAGACACAAGAGACACGUUGAGGAAUGACAAAUACUCCUGUCACAAUUUUUGAAAAUUAUCUAGUAGUAGGCAGGUGUCUUUUUUGGCGUUUAACGGGUAAGUGGCUCUACGCGGAGAACACGAAAACUAGACGAUUGAGCAGGCCGUAGUUAAUAGAGAAGGUCGUGCUCUAGUAAACAUUUUGUGUCACUUACUGUCAUUCGUUUUUUUCAAAAUUCAAAGUACAGGAAAUAUUACCACAAACAAAAGAGAAUGGACAAAAAUAGAAUAAAACUGACAAGAAUUAAGUAAAUUAUUUAUACUUUUAAAAUUUUUCUGCUUUGAGGCAAAUGUUCGACAGAACUGGUUUUGCGAUUAUUGUCAAAACCAUAAUGCAGAUCUCAUUUUGGUGCUGCCUACAAACCAAUAAAGAAUUCUUUUGUAAAGUGGGCUGUAAAAUCUUGAUCAGUUGACCGCAUGUUUUUUCUUUUUUUAAAUAAGGUAAAAUGUCCUGUAUUACAUCGGCGAUUCUUUUUACAAGCCCCACAAAAAGUUCAUUCGGAUACACUAAUCCACCAUGACCCUGAAGAGUUAUUAAUUUCAGGAGAGGUCCAGGCAUUGUAGUUGACACUAAUGGAGCAAUGCAAUCAUCACAUUGAUAUAUUUUUUGUAAUUUCAUUAUUAUGUAUCCGGAUAAAAAGGCUACUGAUGCAGAAUAGAGAUUCAUUUCAGGUAUUUUAUUUCUUUGUAAGGAAUGGAUUUUAAAGCGUAAAUUCAUCAACUGUUGAUUUUUGAUGGGAGAGUUCAUUGCGGCUAAUGUGACUUAAAGUUCUUACAGUGUUGGCAGAUGACGAAGAUUUUAGAAUUCCAGUUCUUAGAAUUUGACGUAAGGCAUAUUCAGCUGCACGAGCGUCAGUAGCAUCAUUUGAGCCUCCUUUUAAACGAAUAUGCGAAAAUGUCGCUUCCACAGCAUCUGAACUAAAUGAGCGAGUUAACACAUAAUAAAAUCCAGCUUGUGUCAGAAGAAAUUGGACACAUAAAAAUGUACUCUUUGCAAUAAAUUUUAGAGCAUGUGCUGUUUCGCUGCUUAAACAUUUAUAUCCUGUGCUGGCUGAAGUGGACUGGAUAUCAUCUAUGUAAUUUUGGAAAGUAGUAUUCAACCAAUGGAGGCGUUGAUCUGAAAUGUUUACAUAUGGGGCAACGUUGCUAUCUAGUGCAUGAAUGUAAUGUCUUCUACUUGAGAUGUUAUGGACUUGAAAAAAAAUGGAACAUAUUUUCCAUAUACAAAAUUACAUUACAAAACUAUCAACAAAGUCUUCAUAUUUCUCUUCUUUUAAUAAUUUUAGUGCUGAGGUAACCGUUGGGGAAAAUAUCUGCACAGCCCGCAAAACAUUCAUUUUUCAAGAUUUGAAGGAUAUAAAUGCUUUUUUGUAAGAUAUCUGACGGGUUUCAAAGGCCAUCCUCUUUGCAAACCGUAUAAGGCCUUUAAAUAGGACGAGGAGAUAACACCGGUUGUCGAAUUCAUAUUAUGACUUAAAAAAAGGUUCCUGGCAUUUUUAAUGGCAUGGCAAUAGUCAAACGAUAAAAAUAUGGGCAUAGGAAGAUAUGGGUGAUUAAAAUAAUUUUCCAGAGUUCCUCCACACAAGUUCUUGAACAAAGCCACAUUGGACGGAUGGUUAUCUGUUACAAUGCGUAACACCAUAAAACCACAAUCUGUGAGAAGUUUAAUAACUUGCAAAGUUAAAGAAUGAAAAUCAGAGGCCGGCAUUGAAGAAUGGAAAAAGUACCCAGCUACAAUAGUAAAGGAUGCUGACAGACCAUUUUCUACAAAACACGCCAUUUUAUUUGCAACUUUGGGAUGUUCUG